GACGAACGCUGGCGGCGUGCUUAACACAUGCAAGUCGAACGGAAAGGCCCUGCUUUUGUGGGGUGCUCGAGUGGCGAACGGGUGAGUAACACGUGAGUAACCUGCCCUUGACUUUGGGAUAACUUCAGGAAACUGGGGCUAAUACCGGAUAGGAGCUCCUGCUGCAUGGUGGGGGUUGGAAAGUUUCGGAGGUUGGGGAUGGACUCGCGGCUUAUCAGCUUGUUGGUGGGGUAGUGGCUUACCAAGGCUUUGACGGGUAGCCGGCCUGAGAGGGUGACCGGCCACAUUGGGACUGAGAUACGGCCCAGACUCCUACGGGAGGCAGCAGUGGGGAAUAUUGCACAAUGGGCGGAAGCCUGAUGCAGCAACGCCGCGUGCGGGAUGACGGCCUUCGGGUUGUAAACCGCUUUCGCCUGUGACGAAGCGUGAGUGACGGUAAUGUGUAAAGAAGCACCGGCUAACUACGUG
rnacentral:rRNA from 1 species